UUGAAGGUAAGCUAAAUUAAGCUUUUAGACUCAUGCUCUAAAAAUGGAACUUCCCCUUCAAA
rnacentral:tRNA from 1 species